GAGCCGUUUGCAAUGCUUCAAACUGCUGAUCUAUCAAAAUCUCCAACUCGCCUUCAUCGUCCAAAUUACCAUUAAACUCUGACAGUGUGGUGCAUAGCGUGCGUUGGACUUCACUGACCAUAUCCUUACUUUGUAUUAGAUUUCAACACAACAACGACAUACCCAGCAUACUCCCACAAAUGGGGUCUAAGGAGGAUAGUCUGAACACAGACCUUACCCUUACCUUGUGAUGGUAAGGUUGUUGUUUC
rnacentral:misc_RNA from 1 species